UGACCAGAAUCGUUGCCGUGUAGA
rnacentral:siRNA from 1 species